rnacentral:rRNA from 1 species
UUGAUGGUAGUGUAUUGGACUACCGUGGCGAUCACGGGUAACGGGGAAUUAGGGUUCGAUUCCGGAGAGGGAGCCUGAGAAAUGGUUACCACAUCUAAUGAAGGCAGCAAGUGCGUAAAUUACCCAAUCCUAAUUCAGGGAGGUAGUGACAAGAAAUAACAACUCGGACCUCAUUCGAGGUUACGGGAUUGCAAUGAGAACAAUUUAAACCACUUAUCGAGCAACAAUUGGAGGGCAAGUCUGGUGCCAGCAGCCGCGGUAAUUCCAGCUCCAAUAGCGUAUAUUUAAGUUGUUGCAGUUAAAAAGCUCGUAGUUGAAUUUCUGGCGAGCGCUGUUCUUGGCUCUCUGAGUCGGCUCAGUGUUUCGUCAUCCGUAUGGGAAGCUAGCUCGGCCUUCACUGGUCGGCUAGUGGAUCAUACACUUUACUUUGAAAAAAUUAGAGUGUUUCAGGCAGGCAAUUGCUUGGAUACUUCAGCAUGGAAUAAUGGAAUAGGACUUUGACCUAUUUGUUGGUUUCUUCGAGGUCAAGGUAAUGAUUAAUAGGGACAGUUGGGGGCAUUCAUAUUUAAUUGUCAGAGGUGAAAUUCUUGGAUUUAUUAAAGAUGAACUUAUGCGAAAGCAUUUGCCAAGGAUGUUUUCAUUAAUCAAGAACGAAAGUUAGGGGAUCAAAGACGAUCAGAUACCGUC